AUUGAACGCUGGCGGCAUGCCUUACACAUGCAAGUCGAACGGCAGCACGGGAGCAAUCCUGGUGGCGAGUGGCGAACGGGUGAGUAAAGUAUCGGAACGUACCGUGUAGUGGGGGAUAACGUAGCGAAAGUUACGCUAAUACCGCAUACGCACUGAGGUGGAAAGCAGGGGAUCGCAAGACCUUGCGCUAUACGAGCGGCCGAUGUCAGAUUAGCUAGUUGGUAGGGUAAAGGCCUACCAAGGCGACGAUCUGUAGCGGGUCUGAGAGGAUGAUCCGCCACACGGGGACUGAGACACGGCCCAGACUCCUACGGGAGGCAGCAGUGGGGAAUUUUGGACAAUGGGGGAAACCCUGAUCCAGCCAUGCCGCGUGAGUGAAGAAGGCCUUCGGGUUGUAAAGCUCUUUCGGCUGGGAAGAAAUCGCACAGGCUAAUACUCUGUGUGGAUGACGGUACCAGCACAAGAAGCACCGGCUAACUACGUGCCAGCAGCCGCGGUAA
rnacentral:rRNA from 1 species